rnacentral:lncRNA from 1 species
UGGAGUCAAGUUGCAGGAUCAGCAGGUUGUGAUCAAUUAUUCAAUCGUGAAAGGGCUGAAGUACAAUCAGGCCACGCCAACCUUCCACCAGUGGCGAGAUGCCCGCCAGGUCUACGGCUUAAACUUUGCAAGUAAAGAAGAGGCAACCACGUUCUCCAAUGCAAUGCUGUUUGCCCUGAACAUCAUGAAUUCCCAAGAAGGAGGUGUUGAUGUUCUAGACUCUGAAAUGGCAGUGUCAGACCAGACAAGAAGCUCUCACCAGAGACAAAGUGGAAACGGAGAGCUGUUGGCGAUUUAGGGGACAGCGGGGACAGGUGCACAUUGCAAUGUGCAGGAUCAUCCUGCGCAGUGAAGUCUUGUCUUGCGUGUCCCACCAAAACAUGCAGUUGAAAAACUCAAGCCAGAGCUUGCUCUGUUUUAAGAAAAAGCACUUAUUUUUUUAACCAGGUUUAGUAUGUGCUGAAUUUUCUAGGAAUUUGACUACUGCAUCCGUCAAAAGAAAAUCAUACUUAAUUUUGUUUGUAACUUUACCAAGAGUUGUUUUCUGUUUCGUAAAGUCCUAUCUCCAGCAUCGUCACUGUGACGUUUCAGUCAUCCAUAGACCUCCCCUUCGUCACAUCCCAUUUGCAGCAGCAGCACUCCCAGUGGGUCUGUGGGUAGGUGCAAGCGUGGACCGCCUCCGUCUCCUAGUGUAGCUGGGUCUGGCCCUUUAUGUGUUGUAAUGCACAUUUUAUUAUAGACUGCUUCUCUUUUCUCUCUCCUUUGCAGUACAUGUAAGGCAUUAUAUCCGAAUUUAGGUAGGUAGGUUAUGUAAUCUAUGAAUUUCACUUCAGGAUAAUGCAAGGAUCAUUACAAAACAUUAUAAUAAAAAGAGGACCAUCGGGCCUGAGAGG